rnacentral:tmRNA from 1 species
GGGACUGACGGGCUUCGACAAGAGGAAUCGUCAUACAUGUGCGCGUAGAGUACUCAGGAAUCUCUUUAAACUUCUUGGAAAAGACUAAGUGCAAACAAAGUCGCUUCAGUAAAAUCUCCAUACGCUGGAAAUUUUGCUUUCUCAUUCGCUUAAUUAUUUAAGCCGGUGAGGUGUCCUCCCUAUCGACAUCCGAUACAUAGGGCGGGCAUAAUCAAUCGGGUUACGAGAUACAGACAGCUUGCCUAUAUCUUCGACAAUUAAAAGCUCGGUGUAUAUGUGUUUUGCUGGUUCUCUAGCAUAUACAUUUAAAUCCAAUGAAUCUGCUACACGCGUAGAUUCCUGUAUGGUCUUCUUUUGCACCUGGGUUCAACUCCCAGCAGUUCCACCA